CGGGGCUUAGGCUCCGGCGCAAAGAGAGGCCCAAGUGAGAUUAGCUAGUUGGUAAGGUAACGGCUUACCAAGGCGACGAUCUCUAGCUGUUCUGAGAGGAAGAUCAGCCACACUGGGACUGAGACACGGCCCAGACUCCUACGGGAGGCAGCAGUGGGGAAUAUUGCACAAUGGGGGAAACCCUGAUGCAGCCAUGCCGCGUGUGUGAAGAAGGCCUUCGGGUUGUAAAGCACUUUCAGUUGUGAGGAAAAGUUAGUAGUUAAUACCUGCUAGCCGUGACGUUAACAACAGAAGAAGCACCGGCUAACUCCGUGCCAGCAGCCGCGGUAAUACGGAGGGUGCGAGCGUUAAUCGGAAUUACUGGGCGUAAAGCGCACGCAGGCGGUUUGUUAAGCUAGAUGUGAAAGCCCCGGGCUCAACCUGGGAUGGUCAUUUAGAACUGGCAGACUAGAGUCUUGGAGAGGGGAGUGGAAUUCCAGGUGUAGCGGUGAAAUGCGUAGAUAUCUGGAGGAACAUCAGUGGCGAAGGCGACUCCCUGGCCAAAGACUGACGCUCAUGUGCGAAAGUGUGGGUAGCGAACAGGAUUAGAUACCCUGGUAGUCCACACCGUAAACGCUGUCUACUAGCUGUGUGUGCCUUUAAGGCGUGCGUAGCGAAGCUAACGCGCUAAGUAGACCGCCUGGGGAGUACG
rnacentral:rRNA from 1 species